CGCCCGGAGGGAGGGGCACACAUAUUUCAUAAUGGGCAUUGAGCCAGGGGAUGAUGCGGGGCUGGCGUGGGACAUAAAGACUGGGGUAAGUCUGAGCUUAUGUCCAGUUACUCAUUUGGUCAAGAUGAGUAACUAGCCAAACGCCGUUUGGAGAAAUGACCAAAAAGCUGCCUCAGAUCUCCUGUUCUCGACCCCAGGCUCCACCGACCUACUCUACUCCUUCCUCCUCUGGACCCCGUGCUCCACCUGCCUACUCUAUUCCUUCCUCCUCUGGACCCCGCCCUCCACCUAUCUACUCUAUUCCUCCCUCCUCUCAUUGUCCUUCCUCCUCUCGUCGUCCAAAGCCGCUUCCUCUUGUGUCCCUUUACGUCCUCAACACUCCCCAGCGUUGUCCACCUCUCUCAACUCACAGGCCUACCUGUUUCCCUCCUGUUCCUAGUGCUUUCCUUUCUAGCCGCGCUAACCUACAGGUUUCCCCACGCAAUCCUUGCUCUAUUCCUUCCAAAAGGUCCAGUCCCCGCUGUUUUUGUCUCGCUCCUGUUCCCUGUUUCCCCACUGUCUACUUUCCUCGUACUCCCCCUCCCAGCCCCUCGUAGACUUGAAAGUCUUAUCCUCCCCAACCUUCCAGCCAACUCCAACCAGACCUCCGUGAUUCACAAAUCCUAUCCUGGAGAGAUGAUUUCCCUGUGAGUGGGCCGGUCCUGAUAUCAUCCGGAAUUGCCAGAACAGUUGAUCCCCAGGAGCUUGACUUGGUGAAGGUUGGGAACUCAAGACAAUGCCAAUGAACAUUUAGCUCGGAGGCCAGCCUGAAUGAAUUCUACAUUUAUAACUGGUUUCUCCGUAGAAUUUGGUCUGUGACCACAGAGCAAACAGCAAGACCAGGGACACAAGGUAGAGAAGAGUGAGUGGAAAACAUCUCAUCUGAUCUCUACACGGCCAAUGACUGUCGAAGGGGCGGUGCAAUCAGGUCCCUAACCUGCUGGGCCUGCCGCCAGAGGGUCCCGUCCAGGCUGCUGCAGGAGCAGCCCCAGGAACCAGGCCGGACCUCGAGAAGCCGAGGGAAGGGGAGUCGCGGGCUUCAGGCUUCAGAAAGAAGCGAGGCAGGGGAAAUCCCUUCUGGAAGGAGGGGGUGAGGAGGUAGCUCCACGUGCCCGGUGGCUGCUAUCCUCGGUUUUACCACUCUGGAUUGUGAGGUCCUCGCGAGCUGAGCUCCUAGUUACCCCCGGAUAAUGCUCAGCAGGUGUCUGGCCGAGGGUGAGUCUUCAAGAGGGCGGGACAUUAACGCUGUGAUGUGAAGCUCUGCCGGUGUUUUUCUACAGUUCACACAAUCACCAGAAAGCCCGUGUCUUGGCACCAGAACCUGGAGGAACCUGCAGACGAUGGGGCCGGGAGUGGAGACCUCAUACCGUGCCGAUGGAGACAGACAAGUAGCCAGGUUCCUAAAUCUUAUCCACCAGGCCGCUCAGGGGCCACGGAAGAGAUACCCAGACACGCAAACAGAAAGCCCAGAAAUUGGACGGGACUCUGAGGCCUAGGAGCGUGUGCUGAGCCCCUGGGGUGCGCUGGCCCAGGCCCCACGGACUCUGAACCCAGGUUGCCCUCCCUCCCCGGGGGUUGCCUUCUGAUGCCCACCAUCUCCUCUCUGGGUCAGCCCGGAAUGUGACGAGCGCAGGCUGAACCGUGUCAGGGUGCACAGCGACAUCGCGCCCCACAAGGCUAAAGCGUGGAGCUGGCGAGAAGAUGAUCGCCUCGCGUCGUAUUCAGCGCCCACCUCGGUCUCAUCCCUGAAACCCAGCGUGUGGGCUGUGUGGAUAAAUAAAGAUGACUUUCCAGCGUCAGUCUGA